GACGAACGCUGGUGGCGUGCUUAACACAUGCAAGUCGAACGGAAAGGCCCUGCUUUUGUGGGGUGCUCGAGUGGCGAACGGGUGAGUAACACGUGAGUAACCUGCCCUUGACUUUGGGAUAACUGCAGGAAACUGGGGCUAAUACCGGAUAGGAGCUCCUGCUGCAUGGUGGGGGUUGGAAAGUUUCGGCGGUUGGGGAUGGACUCGCGGCUUAUCAGCUUGUUGGUGGGGUAGUGGCUUACCAAGGCUUUGACGGGUAGCCGGCCUGAGAGGGUGACCGGCCACAUUGGGACUGAGAUACGGCCCAGACUCCUACGGGAGGCAGCAGUGGGGAAUAUUGCACAAUGGGCGGAAGCCUGAUGCAGCAACGCCGCGUGCGGGAUGACGGCCUUCGGGUUGUAAACCGCUUUCGCCUGUGACGAAGCGUGAGUGACGGUAAUGGGUAAAGAAGCACCGGCUAACUACGUGCCAGCAGCCGCGGUGAUACGUAGGGUGCGAGCGUUGUCCGGAUUUAUUGGGCGUAAAGGGCUCGUAGGUGGUUGAUCGCGUCGGAAGUGUAAUCUUGGGGCUUAACCCUGAGCGUGCUUUCGAUACGGGUUGACUUGAGGAAGGUAGGGGAGAAUGGAAUUCCUGGUGGAGCGGUGGAAUGCGCAGAUAUCAGGAGGAACACCAGUGGCGAAGGCGGUUCUCUGGGCCUUUCCUGACGCUGAGGAGCGAAAGCGUGGGGAGCGAACAGGCUUAGAUACCCUGGUAGUCCACGCUGUAAACGGUGGGUACUAGGUGUGGGGUCCAUUCCACGGGUUCCGUGCCGUAGCUAACGCUUUAAGUACCCCGCCUGGGGAGUACGGCCGCAAGGCUAAAACUCAAAGGAAUUGACGGGGCCCCGCACAAGCGGCGGAGCAUGCGGAUUAAUUCGAUGCAACGCGUAGAACCUUACCUGGGUUUGACAUGGAUCGGGAGUGCUCAGAGAUGGGUGUGCCUCUUUUGGGGUCGGUUCACAGGUGGUGCAUGGCUGUCGUCAGCUCGUGUCGUGAGAUGUUGGGUUAAGUCCCGCAACGAGCGCAACCCUUGUUCACUGUUGCCAGCACGUUAUGGUGGGGACUCAGUGGAGACCGCCGGGGUCAACUCGGAGGAAGGUGGGGAUGACGUCAAGUCAUCAUGCCCCUUAUGUCCAGGGCUUCACGCAUGCUACAAUGGCUGGUACAGAGAGUGGCGAGCCUGUGAGGGUGAGCGAAUCUCGGAAAGCCGGUCUCAGUUCGGAUUGGGGUCUGCAACUCGACCUCAUGAAGUCGGAGUCGCUAGUAAUCGCAGAUCAGCAACGCUGCGGUGAAUACGUUCCCGGGGCU
rnacentral:rRNA from 1 species